rnacentral:RNase_P_RNA from 1 species
GGCAGAGAGAGCCCGGUUCCCGUGCGUCGCACCCGCGACGCAUGAGGAAAGUCCCCCCACCGUCCGGACGGGUGACCGGGCGCAAGCCCGGAGUCGGAGACGGCUGGCUCUGGAACAGAAACGAGACCCCUCGACCCGACCGAUGAUGCGUGCGAACCGACCCGUAAGGGGAGGGAGUUAACCCGCGGAGGGUGCGAGGCGGCGUUAGCCGCCUCGAAGCGAACGGGCGCACCGCGCCCGCGAGCAGACGGUCGAGAAGGGAUGGAACGGCGAAUCCUCACCGGUGCAAGUCCGCGCCGCUAAGGUAGUCCGGACAGCACCCUCGGGACAUCCGGGGUGCCCCCGGAGUCUCUCCGGGGAGGACGCGGACGCUCAGCCGAAUGCCGGGACGAACAGAAGGGGGCUUACUCCUCUCAGCC